rnacentral:rRNA from 1 species
UACGAAGGGGGCUAGCGUUGCUCGGAAUUACUGGGCGUAAAGGGCGCGUAGGCGGACAGUUUAGUCAGAGGUGAAAGCCCAGGGCUCAACCUUGGAAUUGCCUUUGAUACUGGCUGUCUUGAGUUCGGGAGAGGAGAGUGGAAUUCCCAGUGUAGAGGUGAAAUUCGUAGAUAUUGGGAAGAACACCGGUGGCGAAGGCGGCUCUCUGGACCGAUACUGACGCUGAGGCGCGAAAGCGUGGGGAGCAAACAGG